rnacentral:rRNA from 1 species
AUACGGAGGAUGCAAGCGUUAUCCGGAUUUAUUGGGUUUAAAGGGUGCGUAGGCGGUUUGCUAAGCGGGAGGUGAAAUGCCGGCGCUCAACGUCGGCAGUGCCUCCCGAACUGGUGGACUUGAAUGACUCUGCCGUGGGAGGAAUGUGUAGUGUAGCGGUGAAAUGCUUAGAGAUUAAACAGAACACCGAUUGCGAAGGCAUCUCACGAAGGGUUGAUUGACGCUGAGGCACGAAAGCGUGGGGAUCAAACAGGAUUAGAUACCCUGGUAGUCCACGCAGUAAACGAUGAUGGCUAACCGCUGGGCUUAUCAGUUCAGUGGCCAAGCGAAAGCGAUAAGCCAUCCACCUGGGGAGUACGACCGCAAGGUUGAAACUCAAAUGAAUUGGCGGGG